GAUGAACGCUGGCGGCGUGCCUAAUACAUGCAAGUCGAGCGAACGGACGAGAAGCUUGCUUCUCUGAUGUUAGCGGCGGACGGGUGAGUAACACGUGGAUAACCUACCUAUAAGACUGGGAUAACUUCGGGAAACCGGAGCUAAUACCGGAUAAUAUUUUGAACCGCAUGGUUCAAAAGUGAAAGACGGUCUUGCUGUCACUUAUAGAUGGAUCCGCGCUGCAUUAGCUAGUUGGUAAGGUAACGGCUUACCAAGGCAACGAUGCAUAGCCGACCUGAGAGGGUGAUCGCCCACACUGGAACUGAGACACGGUCCAGACUCCUACGGGAGGCAGCAGUAGGGAAUCUUCCGCAAUGGGCGAAAGCCUGACGGAGCAACGCCGCGUGAGUGAUGAAGGUCUUCGGAUCGUAAACCUCUGUUAUUAGGGAAGAACAUAUGUGUAAGUAACUGUGCACAUCUUGACGGUACCUAAUCAGAAAGCCACGGCUAACUACGUG
rnacentral:rRNA from 1 species